rnacentral:tRNA from 3 species
AUAAAGAUUAUUCUUUUGUUAGAAUA